ensembl:lncRNA
AUGAAACCAAUGGUCUGUCCAGCAGGAUAUUACUGCCUCCUGGGCACAAAAGCUGGCAAUCAGUACCCGUGCCCAGCAGGGACUUACAGUAACAAAACUGGACUGAGAAACCCUAGGGAGUGCUUGCCUUGUCCCAGAGGCAUGUUUUGUGCCAGUGCAGGACUUGUUUCUCCGAGUGGUCCUUGUUUGCCUGGGUAUUACUGCACUUUAAAGGCAAAGGUACCCAAUCCUGCCAAUGAUGCCACUGGUGGCCUUUGCCCAGCAGGCCAUUACUGCCCAGCAGGCAGCAACGAGCCACAGCCGUGUCCCUCUGGCAUGUUUUUGCCACAGCAUGGGAUGGCUUACCAUAAUGCCUGUCUGCCCUGCCCAGGAGGGAAGUUCUGCCAAGGAGAGGGCUUGAUAAGCGUUUCUGGAUCAUGUUCUGCUGGCUAUUUUUGUGAUGGUGAAUCCACACGGCCAGACCAUAAGCUGUGUCCCCCUGGCUUUUACUGUCCUGAGGGUUCUGAAUCCCCAGUUCCUUGCAGCCCUGGUUACUUCAACUCUGAGAGAGGAAAGUGGCAGCCAGCAGACUGUCAGCUCUGCCCAGCUGGGUAUUUCUGCAGUGGUGAGUGCUGAUGUAUUUGAGAACUGGGAUUUGCACAGUGUAAAGCAGGGCGAGGUAGGUGCAUUCUCCAGCUUUAUUCCAUCCAACUCGUAUAACAUUCACCAAGUAUAAACACCCCAUGUUAUUUCACUUCCAGCAUUUCUGUGGGGUUUUUCUUAGCACCCAGAACACCACUUACUAUUCUGUAUCAUCUUUGUUCCUUGGCUCUGACACCUUUUGUAGAUGUCUUACAGGAAUUCAGCCUAUCUGGGAAACAGAACAGCCUGGCAUACAGCUACUUGGUGCAGCUCUCAGCCAGAGUCUCUGCUCUAAGACAGCUGCUCAGAGGUUCUCACAAUCUGUUUGUGCAGUAUAUAUGUUUACUCCCCCAAAGCUGAAGUAUUUGAGGUCACACUGGUGGUAACAGAUUCACCUGCCCCAUCCAUAGGACGGAGAAGCUUUUCCUUUCUCAGGUGGGAAACUGGGAGAGAGGGAAAAACUUAACUCACGUGGGUUUGUAGCAGAGCUGGAACCACAAGCAAGAUUUCCAAAAGUACAAUUGCACGUGGAAGCCCACGUUUCCUACAUGCAUAUAAUUCAAAAUUGCAUUUCCUUUGUACUGAGAUGUUCUUUGUCUGAGGCUGAACUUUGGGGAACACAUUCUUUCUGAUAUUGGUGACAGGUGAAUGAUGAAGGGGGCUGUGCUUUCUGGUGAUAAGGGUUUUCUUUUGUCUUUAAUCUGAGAAAGGAAAGGGAAAGGCUGUGCUUUCAAAGUUGCAGGACUGGGCAAAAUCACUUCCAAAGGAGCAUGUUCUGCAGGUACUGCUGCCUGCCUGGCCAGACUUCAGCUACUCCCACUUGCUGGUGCUGCCCAUGAGGCUGCACUGUCCCAAAGGAGCUGCCUUUCCUAUGCCCUGUGAGAAUGGGACCUAUCAGUCAUGGGAGGAGAGGGAUUUAGGGAGUCUAGCAAAAGUAGGGCUGUGUAUUGUGAUAAAAAUUGAUUUUUUUGUCACUGAGAGAUGAGUCUUGCUGAGCCUUAGCAAGACAAAAAGGAUUUUGAAUGCCACUGCUUCCUUGUUUCUGUUAAGAUUGUGCUAAGUCGGUGUUGGAUGGGACUAGGCAAACGGAAGCAUCAGUAUCUGCCAAGAGUGGAAGCCAAAACAGGCUUCUACAACUAUGAAGUUGUUGAAGGAGUAAGCAGAAGCCAAAUCGUUCUCCUCUUUAGGGCGAAGAAACUUAAUGCCCAGAAAAAUACAAGGGAGCUAUUCCUGUCUAGCAGCUCGUGCAUGCUACAGAAAACCCCACAAGAAAUACAGCUGCACAGACGUGAUUCUGUUCCCUAGAUGGGAUUACUCGAAUAAAACUUCAGACAGCUCCUUUGUUAGACA